UGGGGAAUAUUGGACAAUGGGGGGAACCCUGAUCCAGCCAUGCCGCGUGUGUGAAGAAGGCCUUAUGGUUGUAAAGCACUUUAAGCGAGGAGGAGGGUACUGGUAUUAAUACUACCAGGUACUGGACGUUACUCGCAGAAUAAGCACCGGCUAACUCUGUGCCAGCAGCCGCGGUAAUACAGAGGGUGCGAGCGUUAAUCGGAUUUACUGGGCGUAAAGCGUGCGUAGGCGGCUAAUUGAGUCGGAUGUGAAAUCCCCGAGCUUAACUUGGGAAUUGCAUUCGAUACUGGUUAGCUAGAGUGUGGGAGAGGAUGGUAGAAUUCCAGGUGUAGCGGUGAAAUGCGUAGAGAUCUGGAGGAAUACCGAUGGCGAAGGCAGCCAUCUGGCCCAACACUGACGCUGAGGUACGAAAGCAUGGGGAGCAAACAGG
rnacentral:rRNA from 1 species